GUGUGACAUGUUUUUCCCAUUGUGGUCCCUCACCAAUUGUGAAUGGUACACGUACCUGUCAUUUCCUGAAUUAAGACUGAGACCAACACAUGGAUUCUUCAUCUCUUUCCCUCUAAUGACCUAAAUAGCAAGACAAACAAAAGCUGGCUUUUGAAAUCAAUGAGGAAACUGCAGCUCUUCAGCAUUUUUUUUACCACCAAAGGAUUUCCACAUUGCAAAUUUGGCAUAGCUGACACAAGAGGAAAUGCCUUCUCUGAACUCUCGCAUCAUCCUGGGAAAGUUUCUCGACUCGUUUCAGACCAGCUGGUAAAUCCUGCCCUAGGAAAGAGAACUGGCCAAUGGCGGAACCACUCAAGAGAUCACUGACCCCGAAGGUGCAUACAAGUAGAAAGGUUCUGACUGUGCUGUCAAACUUGGUGUAUGAUGGGUUUCCCUUCCCGC